rnacentral:rRNA from 1 species
AGAGUUUGAUCCUGGCUCAGAUUGAACGCUGGCGGCAUGCCUUACACAUGCAAGUCGAACGGUAACAGGUCUUCGGAUGCUGACGAGUGGCGAACGGGUGAGUAAUACAUCGGAACGUGCCCGAUCGUGGGGGAUAACGAAGCGAAAGCUUUGCUAAUACCGCAUACGAUCUACGGAUGAAAGCAGGGGACCGCAAGGCCUUGCGCGAACGGAGCGGCCGAUGGCAGAUUAGGUAGUUGGUGGGAUAAAAGCUUACCAAGCCGACGAUCUGUAGCUGGUCUGAGAGGACGACCAGCCACACUGGGACUGAGACACGGCCCAGACUCCUACGGGAGGCAGCAGUGGGGAAUUUUGGACAAUGGGCGAAAGCCUGAUCCAGCCAUGCCGCGUGCAGGAUGAAGGCCUUCGGGUUGUAAACUGCUUUUGUACGGAACGAAAAGACUCUGGUUAAUACCUGGGGUCCAUGACGGUACCGUAAGAAUAAGCACCGGCUAACUACGUGCCAGCAGCCGCGGUAAUACGUAGGGUGCAAGCGUUAAUCGGAAUUACUGGGCGUAAAGCGUGCGCAGGCGGUUAUAUAAGACAGAUGUGAAAUCCCCGGGCUCAACCUGGGAACUGCAUUUGUGACUGUAUAGCUAGAGUACGGCAGAGGGGG